CCCCACCCCCACACCUUUGCCCCUCUCUGGUCGACGGAGGCAGAAGCGGUAGCCCGUCCUUGCCCUCUUCUCCAUGCAUCACCUCUAGAGCAUGGGGAGACGUGUGGCCUUCUAAGUGCGAGGGAGUAUGUCGAGCCGUGCAGGAUCCGGCGGCGUGCGAGAUCUGACAUCGAGCAAAUCCGGUCAUGGUGGACGAACUCACGAAGAGGUGGAAGCUCCGGCACAUAUCUGCCUUUCCGUCGUCCACCCUCCAAGGCGAGCAUGCUGGCACUAGCGGCUUCAACAUGUUGCAUCUUCCCCAAAUCGCGGCUCACUGGAUAAAAGCAGACCUAACUGCUCUGCACACAAAUCCAUAAGAUCCAGCAGAACAUGCCUAUAGUGGUGGAGUCGUCUAUGGAUCAUCUCGACAACUCUCUGCCUCCCCAUCCGGCCUCCUGUUCCAGCAGCGUGAACUCAUAGCUCUUGCUUGGCUUAGCACGGCACUAAUCAUGACUUCAUGAGUGCUGCUGCUAACUGGAGUAUAAUUAAGGACAGCCCUUGCAAUGCUACUUUGUGGAAUUAAAAGGGUAAAGUGCAUGAUAAUGGCAAGGACAUGCAAAGUAGGCUACCUGACUAGGCCAAUAAAAUGUUGGUGGGUUUUGGUAAGCAGAUUUGUUACACUGGAUUUGGCCUCAUUCUAAACCCGCGUCAUUUCUUCAUUAUUGGCAUAUGUGAGUUUAUUCUCCAAUCCCUGAACUUGCUAUAUGAAGUAGUUAUCGUAGAGCUGAAGUAAAAAAAGGUUGAUUUGGGACUGAUAUCCAGAAUGCACUUGCUCUAUGAAGUUGCUCCACAUAAGAUAGCUCUAUGCAACAAGUGUUGGAAUUUAUAGGUCACUUCUCUUGUUUAUCUACUGUAAUUAAGUUAGCUAUAAUGAUCGCUAAACUUGAUAGGAGUGCAAUAUAUAUGAUGUUAAUGUGCCCUUGUUUAUCUACUGAUAGUUCUCUAGCUAUUGAGUUACAUAAUUUUAAAACAGGCUCCUGAUCUGAUUGUGCUUGCAGCUAUAUUGCAGCUACAUAAUUUUAACUAUAGGACAUUCAUGUUGAAGCUGUCAGGAUGUGUCACAUCUAUAAUCUAUAUUCAUGCUCAAUUGUUCCUGCAUUUUUGGAGUUUUCAAAAUAAGACAAUUGAGAAGCCUGAAGUUCAUGAUGUGGCUAGAGGGGCUGCUUCGAGAAGCACCAGAGGCAGUGGGCACAUGUGGUGCUGAUCCAAUGCUAGCUAUGCUUGAUCCUUGCUUUGUGUUUCUCUUCUCUAGAUAAGAUGUGUGGCAAUGCAUUUAUCCCUUUGCAAGCUACUAUGAUUUGCCCCAUAGAUGAAAUAUUCCAAUAGACUGUACUUACAUAAUUCAUUCUACUUUGUUUGUGUAGUUACUAUAUAUUGUUUCUGCCACUAUUCUUCAUGAGUCAUUCAACUGCUCAUUUGGGCAGAGUCUCUGUUUCUUGUAUAUGGAACUAUGAUGAAACCCAAUCUCAAUGCUUUUGAGUGAAUAUGAUGAUUGGAGAUACUUGACCUUGUAUGAUUUGAGGUUGGCUAUUUCAGUUCACCCUAUGAUCAUGGCAACAAAAAGGAAGCUUGCUUACAGGCAUUCUGCUAUUGGAGACGAGCGUAGAGGUGUCACAGGAAUUAUCAUUUAUUUGCACCAUUUCUUUCCAUGUUAUUGUGUUCCUUUUUUAUAUGGAAAGGUGCAUGAUGAACCUUGUGAAUGUAUCUAACAGUAAACUUUUUAAAUAGGUGCCUAUGGCAAAAGAGUUUGUUUCCUAUCCAAAAUAUGCUUGUCUGUAGUCUGUACACAUAAGAGUUGUUGCACUACCAAAGGGCUUGUAUAAUCUGUAUUGAGAUGGAAGUGGACAUAUGUUAAAAAAGUCAUGUGUUCAAUUAGCAGUUGUUAAUAUGGUGAAUAAAUAAUUAUACUUUAAA